CCCACUGUGCUGCUUUGCCAGGAGGGGUGUGGACUUCACCUCCCUGCUAUGCUUUCCACAAAGGCACGCGGAUGGAAAUGAAGGAGGAGAGAAAGGCAUGCCCGCAGUGCCCACAGAAGAGCAGUCCUUCUCCUGGCUAGGGGUCAUUUGUGUGUCUCUCUGUCUCCUAUCAGGCUGAGAGCAGUGAGAGAUGAGGUUCUCCGUGGAGUUAGGCACUCCUCCUAGACUGCCCCUUUCUACCCAAUCCAACAAGUCAGAAAUACACCAUUGGGAUAACAUUUCCUGUCUCUCACCAUUCAUAUCAUUUGGCAGAUUCUGUGACCUUAAUAUCUUUCCAUGCCUUCUCCUGUUACUGAUCUCCACUACAGCAUCCUGUUCUGGAUGGCUUCAUUGGGAAGUCUAUGCAUUUUC
rnacentral:lncRNA from 1 species